UACGUAGGGUGCAAGCGUUAAUCGGAAUUACCGGGCGUAAAGCGUGCGCAGGCGGUGAUGUAAGACAGUUGUGAAAUCCCCGGGCUCAACCUGGGAACUGCAUCUGUGACUGCAUUGCUGGAGUGCGGCAGAGGGGGAUGGAAUUCCGCGUGUAGCAGUGAAAUGCGUAGAUAUCAGGAGGAACACCGGUGGCGAAGGCGGGUCUCUGGACCGGAACUGACGCUGAGGCGCGAAAGCGUGGGGAGCAAACAGG
rnacentral:rRNA from 1 species